CUAACCCUUAACUCGCUUCCGUACUUUGUGGCAUGUGCCACAACUGUAUCCCGCCUACCAAACAUCGGUCAACUCAACGAUGACGGACGAGGAGCUCCUGGGGAAGCUUGAGGACUCAACUCGGGACGCCACGCGUCACCAGGAGGAGACCCUGAAGUCAAUACUCGAACGCCACGGCGGCGUACGUUACCUCCAGCGCCACCUCCGUGGCUACGAUGCGCCGCUCGACGUAGCCACCUUCCGCCACGUCGUGCCGUUGUCCACCUACGAGGACUACUCCGACGACAUCAACCGUUUGGCCGAUGGCCAACUUGAUCACGAUAAAGAUCAGCCUCUCCUGUCCGUUGAUCCUCUCGUCUGUUUCUUCUACAGCUCUGGCACCAGCUCUAUGAAGCCCAAGUUGAUUCCUUAUUUCGAUUCUUCGCUCUCAAAAGCUGCCUCUUACAUGGCUCAUCUGGGGACUUCUGCAAUUCUUAGAAGGUUGUUUCCUCCAAGAAAUUCAGCACAUAGUAAGAUUAUACUAUUUAUUUAUGCUGAUAAUGUUACAACUACAAAAGGGGGUUUUAAGGUGAUGGCUGCUUCCUCAUACCCUUUGAGGAGUAAUGCCAAUUGGUCUAAGUUGGCCUCUACUUCUAGUCCCAAGGAAGUAAAUCUUGGAUCCAAUGUUGAGCACCAAUUGUAUUGCCAUCUUCUCUGUGGCCUUAGGAACUCCGAAUUCAUCGACGGGAUUCUUGCCCCUUAUGCCAUAGGCCUAAUCAAAGCAUUUUCCCUUCUAGAAUCCAAGUGGAAUCAGCUAUGCUGCGAUCUCGAAAAGGGGGUCCCGAGUGAAGAAAUUUCUGAUGCUGCAAUGAGAAGUUCUGUUACUGAGGUUCUUGGUGGUCCUCAAGUUGAUCUCUCCAUGAGAGUUCGAUCGAUUUGCGAGGGAAAGAGCUGGGACGGGAUUGUGAGGAAGUUAUGGCCUAAUGUUCGGUAUGUCAAGUGUGUCACCACUGGAAGCAUGAGACAGUAUCAUCCAAAACUUAAGCAGUAUAUAGGAGAGACGCCUUUAUUAGGUUCAAAUUACUUUGCUUCAGAAUGUUGUGUGGGCAUUAACUUGGAUGUUAUGCAACCCCCGGAGACAACUCGAUUUGUCAUGCUCCCAACUGCAGCCUACUUUGAGUUUCUUCCAUUUGAUCCUGAUCAGAUUGAUGCUGUUAGUGAACAAACAGUUGAUUUCUCUGGUGUCGAAGUAGGGAAGAUGUAUGAAGUGGUUGUGACUACUUACAGAGGAUUAUAUCGGUACUGUUUGGGAGAUAUAGUGAGAGUUGUUGGUUUCUAUAAUUCCUCUCCACAAUUGGAGUUUGUAAUGAGGGCGCCAAAUUCCCUUUCUGAUAUAAUAACCGAGAGGGAUUUGAUGUCGGCAAUCGAAAGCUGUCAACUUGUGAUGAGAAAUGAGGUGGGAACAGAAAUUUCUGAGUUUUCAAGUUUCUUGGACUUGGAAUUAAACCCGAAGCGAUUAAAAGUACUAAUGGAAGUUAGAGAAGAAGAUGUGUUUGUGGAGGAGAAGUUGCAGGAGUCGGUUUUAGUUCUGAGGAGGAUUUGUUCUUUACUUGAGGACAACUUGGGAAGUCUCUACAGGGUUAAGAGAGAUAAAGGUGAAGUUGGUUCUUUGUUGAUGAUAAUUGUAAGGCCUGGUAGCUUUGAUAAGCUUUCACAGGUAGCCAUUGAGAAUGGAUCAUCUGCUAAUCAGUAUAAACCGCCGAAGAUAUUACGAAGGCAUGAAUUUGUUACUUUUCUUGAAAGAUCUUCUCUUGUUGCUAUAUGCUUGGAUUGUAUAGAUAAUUGAAGGUCCCCAUCAGGGAGCAAGCCAAAAUCUGCCGUCUGUGAUCAAAGAAAUCAUGUAAAUGCAAGCCAUCUGGGAGACUCAGGAAUGAAGAAGAGACCGAAAAGCAAAACAGCGCAUGGUACAAGCGCUGCAAAUACUUCUCAAACCUUGGCAAAGUAAAUAGAAAGCUACCCCGCAACACAGAAAGCUACGUACACUCUCAAAGCCUGCCCCUACAUUCCAAGGUAAAAGAUAUUGUCGUAGUAGAUAUCCACCACAAGAAAAAAGUAUGGACAUAAAAAGUUUCUGGAAUCAAAGGAUUAAACACGGAGUCCCCUUGCUUACCCCUUUUCGACCAACGAGAUCCGUGAUCAGACCGCUUCUGAUUGCUCCAAUCAUUGCACCAAAAGUCACUAUGGAGCCAACAGGGAGUACUGUGUACAGACACAGAUGAAAAUAGCAGAAAAAUUCAGUUCGAUAAAAAAAAAAAAAGAGAAGAAAAGUCCUUGACAAGAAUAAGUUUUCCAUC